rnacentral:tRNA from 1 species
GCCAGCGUAGCUCAGAGGUAGAGCAACGGUUUCGUAAACCGUCGGUCGUCGGUUCGACUCCGACCGCUGGCUCCA